GACGAACUGUGCGAACGUUGUUCGGAAUCACUGGGCUUAAAGGGUGCGUAGGCGGCUUGUUAAGUCGGGGGUGAAAUACUUCGGCUCAACCGGAGAAUUGCCUUCGGUACUGGCGAGCUGGAGGAAGGUAGGGGUCGCGGGAACUGCCAGUGGAGCGGUGAAAUGCGUUGAUAUUGGCAGGAACGCCGGUGGUAAAGACGCGCGGCUGGACCUUUUCUGACGCUGAUGCACGAAAGCCAGGGGAGCAAACGGG
rnacentral:rRNA from 1 species